rnacentral:tRNA from 1 species
GGGCCCAUAGCUCAGCUCGGUUAGAGCGCACCCCUGAUAAGGGUGAGGUCGAUGGUUCAAAUCCAUCUGGGCCCACCA